GCCAAGAGCUCCUUCACACGUGCAGACAAAGAGACCUAACAACACAACCAAAAUAUGCACUUUCAAACUUUUUGCACCCAGAUAAUCUCGCAUGGAAACACAGACAAAUGCAACGGAACCUUCAGCUGGACUCAGAGGCCGCAGUCACCGCAAAUAUGGAAUGCUCAUAUUUUGGAUGGAAAUAGCUCUUGGGUGGAUUUUAGGGGAUUUACCAGUGACAUUUUGGCAAAGAAGCCCCUUGGAAUAGUGGAAUACUGCUGCGCAGCGACAUUUGGAUUACAAUCUCCUCCGGCAACUGGAAUAUGAACAUCAGAUCGAAGUGAUACUCUAAUCCCCCGAGACUCAGAAUUCCCCAGUGCUGCUGCAGUGCUGUGAAAGUUGUGAUGCUGCAGGCAGUGAAAUGUACCAGGCACAUAUCUUACCUGAUGAUACAUCAACCACCGACACAGCAGCUUCAGAUGGAUGUGACCCUGACCAUGAGGCCGGACACCUGCAUGGACGUGCUCUGGAGAUUUAUAAGAGGAGUGUGACACACGGCACGCAGCAGGACUCAUCCCACAGUUCCUUGCCAGCCAAGACAGGAAGUGAUGUGAUCCACUGCCUCCGGGGGCUGAACAAUGCCAAGCCAAAGGCCACAGGAUGUCUUCCUCUAUGGCUCAGUCAGACGGCAGACGGGCAUUCAUCAGACCAACGGAUGUGAAGACCAGAGGACAGAGAGAGAGGGAGGAUGAGGAGAGAAAAGGACAUGGAGACAAAAGGACAGGAGAGAGAGUGUGCCAACGAAUAGUGAGGACAUCGUUGGAGAAUGAGAGGAACAUGGACAGAUGGACGGAUAGAGGGAGGGACGGCUGGAGAAAUGGAGAGAUGGUGGGGAUGGAGGGGAUGUUGGUGUGAGAGGCGCUCCCGUCUCCAGAUGAAGGCAUCUACAAAUUGUGGUGUGGGGGUCAUUGUAUGGGGCCCCCAAGCAAGCGCUCCAGAGGCCCCCAGUAAACAAUGGGCCAAUUGAGGGAGGAGGAGGGUGGAGGUGUGGAGAUGUGGGGGUUGGGGGCCAUGUCUUCAUGCUCUAUCAAUAUCCCCACCGCUGUGGGGUGUCAGACCAUUGUGAACUUUGACCCUCAUGUCUCCUUACCCAACCCUUGAUGUCUUGUUUUCAGAUAUGACCCUUGACCUCCUUUGUGUCUCCUGUCCGGUAUUAGGGGGGAUAGUGGUGCAUGUGUGUGUGGGUGUGUGUGGGAAGGGGCAGGUGUUCCUUAUGGCAAAAACCCCUAACAACCUAUAACAAAGAAGACAAGUAGGACUCACUGAUGGACAUAGAACAGAGCACAUCUCUGUCUGGUGCAGCGCUAUGUGAAGGAAUACUGUCUCUUUAUCACUCCCUUCAAUAACCUCAUGACUGCAAGCACAGAAGAACUACAUGCAUUAUUCAAUAAGCAAGACUAAUGCACCUCUACGUAUUUGAGAAAUAAUUCUGCUAUAGUAUUAGUGUUACUGAAAGAUAAAUCUUUUUUGUUGUUAAAGCAUUAAUGUGUGCUGUUUUUUUUUUGUGUGAGGCAGGUUGGAUCAGACUAUGGAUUCUAAAAGGAUUUUGAAGACAUUUAAUCUGUUAAUCCUAUAAAAUAAAAGCCUUGAAAACACAAUUAAACACAAAGCCAAACUUUUCAGACGGCAACACAUCUGUGUCUCUUCCUCCACUAUUCUCAUCCCCAAAUCAUAAAUCGA